AACCAAGUGAACCACAAAGAUCAAGAGAGAAAGAUAAGAGAUUUAGAGGGGAACCCGCCUUAACCUCCUAAAAGACCGGAUUUCUCUUCGGCCAGCAGGCUUUCUCUUCCACCACCACACCACAAACAAAUCAAACUUUGGAAUAUCUUUUUUUUUUUAUAUACUUUUCCUUUUUUUUUUUAAUAGAUCUUUCUUUUUUUUUUUUUAUGGGGGUAAUGAGGGGCCCGGGUUCAAGAUAGAUAGAUAAGAAAUCUAGAUGAAGAAUAUGGAAGAUGAGAUGAAAUGGAUUGAAAAAGAGUUACCGAGAGAGUGGCUCUGAUACCACUUGAUAGAACCAAAAUAAGGAUCACUCUUUCGGUAAGGUUGAUAUGAACUCAGAUCCGAGAGGAUUGAGAACUGAUGGAUCGAGGGGUGACACUAAGGGUUGCGGAUUAGCCCAAAGAUACUACCAGAGAUUCGAAGGUUGCCGGAUGUGACGCACCGGUCCAACACAA
rnacentral:lncRNA from 1 species